rnacentral:rRNA from 1 species
GACGAACGCUGGCGGCUUGCUUAACACAUGCAAGUCGAACGGAAAGGCCCUUCUUUUGUGGGGUGCUCGAGUGGCGAACGGGUGAGUAACACGUUAGUAACCUUCCCUUGACUUUGGGAUAACUUCAGGAAACUGGGUCUAAUACCGGCUUGGAGCUCCUGCUGCAUGGAGUGGGUUUGAAAGUUUCGGCGGUUGGGGAUGGACUCGCGGCUUAUCAGCUUGUUGGUGGGUUAGUGGCUUACCAAGGCUUUGACGGGUAGCCGGCCUGAGAGGGUGACCGGCCACAUUGGGACUGAGAUACGGCCAAGACUCCUACGGGAGGAAGCAGUGGGGAAUAUUGCAAAAUGGGCGGAAGCCGGAUGCAGCAACGCCGCGUGCGGGAUGACUGCCUUCGGGUUGUAAACCGCUUUCGCCUGUGACGAAGCGUGAGUGACGGUAAUGGGUAAAGAAGCAACGGCUAACUACGUG